rnacentral:rRNA from 1 species
GAUGAACGCUAGCGGCAGGCUUAAUACAUGCAAGUCGAGGGGUAGCAAGAUUGUAGCAAUACAAUUGUUGACGACCGGCAAACGGGUGCGGAACACGUACACAACCUUCCUACAAGUGGGGAAUAGCCCAGAGAAAUUUGGAUUAAUACCCCGUAACAUAGCGAUGUGGCAUCACAUUGCUAUUAUAGCUUCGGCGCUUGUUGAUGGGUGUGCGGCUGAUUAGAUAGUUGGCGGGGUAACGGCCCACCAAGUCUACGAUCAGUAGCUGAUGUGAGAGGAUGAUCAGCCACCCUGGAGCUGAGCCACGGUCCAGACUCCUACGGGAGGCAGCAGUGGGGAAUAUUGGACCAUGGGCGCAAGCCUGAUCCAGCCAUACCGCGUGGGUGAAGAAGGCCUUCGGGUUGUAAAGCCCUUUUGUUGGGAAAGAAAUCCAGCUGGCUAAUACCCGGUUGGGAUGACGGUACCCAAAGAAUAAGCACCGGCUAACUUCGUGCCAGCCGCCGCAGUAACAC